AACGAACGCUGGCGGCAGGCCUAACACAUGCAAGUCGAACGCCCGUAGCAAUACGGGAGUGGCAGACGGGUGAGUAACGCGUGGGAACGUGCCCUUCGGUUCGGAAUAACUCAGGGAAACUUGAGCUAAUACCGGAUACGUCCGUAAGGAGAAAGAUUUAUCGCCGAAGGAUCGGCCCGCGUCGGAUUAGCUAGUUGGUGAGGUAACGGCCCACCAAGGCGACGAUCCGUAGCUGGUCUGAGAGGANGAUCAGCCACACUGGGACUGAGACACGGCCCAGACUCCUAC
rnacentral:rRNA from 1 species